rnacentral:rRNA from 1 species
UACGAAGGGGGCUAGCGUUGCUCGGAAUCAUUGGGCGUAAAGCGCACGUAGGCGGACUGUUAAGUCGGAUGUGAAAGCCCUCGGCUUAACCGAGGAAGUGCAUUCGAAACUGGCAGUCUUGAGUACAGAAGAGGGUCGCGGAAUUCCCGGUGUAGAGGUGAAAUUCGUAGAUAUCGGGAGGAACACCAGUGGCGAAGGCGGCGACCUGGGCUGAUACUGACGCUGAGGUGCGAAAGCGUGGGGAGCAAACAGG